UAAAGAAAAGAACUUUCAACCCAGAAUUUCAUAUCCAGCCAAACUGAGCUUCAGAAGUGAAGGAAAAAUAAAAUCCUUUGCGAAUAAGCAAGUACUCAGAGAUUUUGUCACCAACAGGCCUGCUUUACAAGAGCUCCUGAAAGAGGCACUACACAUAGAUAGGAACAACCAGUACCAGCCAUUCCAAAAUCACACUAAAUGCUAAAGAGCAUCAGCAUAAUGAAGAACCUACAAUUAACGGGCAAAAAGGCCACUUAGCAUCAAAAUGGCAGUAUCAAAUUCACACAUAACAAUAUUAACCCUAAAUGUAAAUGGACUCUGCUUUUUUUUGCUCUCCAUUUGCUUGGUAAAUCUUCCUCCAUCCCUUUAUUUUGUGCCUUUGUGUAUCCUUGCAUGUGAGAUGGGUUUCCUGGAUACAGUACACUGAUGGGUUUUGGAUUUUUAUCCGAUGUGCCAGUCUGUGUCUUUUGAUUGGUGCAUUUAGUCCAUUUACAUUUAGGGAUAAUAUUGUUAUGUGUGAAUUUGACACUGCCAUUUUGAUGCUAGCUAGCUGUUUUGCCCGUUAGUUGUUGUAGAUUCUUCAUUAUGUUGAUGCUCUUUAGCAUUUAGUGUGAUUUUGGAAUGGCUGGUACUGCUUGUUCCUUUCUAUGUGUAGUGCCUCUUUCAGGAGCUCUUGUAAAGCAGACCUGGUGGUGACAACAUCUCUGAGUACUUGCUUGUUUGCAAAGGAGUUUAUUUUUCCUUCACUUAUGAAGCUCAGUUUGGCUGGAUAUGAAAUUCUGGAUUGAAAGUUCUUUUCUUUAAGGAUGUUGAAUAUUGGCCCCCACUCUCUUCUGGCUUGUAGUGUUUUUGCCGAGAGAUCUGCUGUGAGUCUGAUGGGCUUCCCUUUGUGGGUGACCCAACCUUUCUCUCUGGCUGCCCUUAGUAUUUUCUCCUUUAUUUCAACCUGUUGAAUCUGACGAUUAUGUGUCUUGGGGUUGCUCUUCUUGCGGAAUAUCUUUGUGGUGUUCUCUGUAUUUCCUGCAUUUGAGUGUUGGCCUGUCUUGCUAGGUGGGGGAAAUUUUCCUGGAUGAUGUCCUGAAGAGUAUUUUCCAGCUUGGAUUCAUUCUCUUCGUCACAUUCUGGUACACCUGUCAAACGUAGGUUAGGUCUUUUCACAUAGUCCCACAUUUCUUGGAGACUUUGUUCAUUCCUUUUUGCGCUUUUUUCUCUGAUCUUGGUUUCUCGUUUUAUUUCAUUGAGUUGAUCUUCGACUUCUGAUAUUCUUU
rnacentral:lncRNA from 13 species